UUUUUUUUUUUUUUUUUUUUGGUGGGGAGGGGGGUGUUAUGUUUGCGAUCUCUGCCUUGGUACCUAAGGAGGAAGAGGAGGAGGAGGAGGGUGUGUUACUGAAUGGUGGCUAAAGCCUCCUCGGGACGGCGCUGAGGUGAAACAGGCUGAACCCGACUGAUGUGGCUCCUCUCUCGGUUGGACCCAGUGCCCUAAGCAGCCGAUGAGAGACCCCCGGCCGCCCAGCUCGCAGGUAUCUUUUUAGUGCUGAAAUGGACACACUAAUUGUGAACCAUGUGGUAAGGAGCUCCUUCUAAAAUAUGCAGUAGCGCAUUUACUGGAAUUUAACAGGCUGUGUACUUUAAAGCCUCUCUUGCCUGUAAUCAUGUGAACAAACCUUGCAAGUCACAAUGCCAGCUCGAGAUCCAGGACAGCACACAACAGCAGCACUGGAACAGCCCCCACCACUGGGUAAGGGACAGAAAGGAGAUGGUGACCUGCAACAGGAUGAGAGACUGCGCUUACCAGGAUUUGCUCACGGUUUUGCUUCUGGCAACUAACAUUUCCAUUUUUCUCAAAGCUUCUACAUCUGUGUCAUCAGACAAAGCCCCACGAGUGGUAGCAGAGCAAACUGAAGCCUUCAUUUUCAAGUUCGAAGAGAAAAAAUUAUUUACAUGUCUAAAUCCCAGAACUGACUGUUCAGAGGUCACUCUUUGUUGCCCACUGCUAUGAACCAUUAAGACUUCCAAAAGCUUUAAAAGAAACAGGACAUAGUCUGGGGCAGAAAAAUCUUAUUGUUUUAAAUUCGCUUUAAUUCUAUUUCAUUGUAUUAUAUGAUUUUUGUCCUACCAGAGGAACAUGCAAAAUGGGAUGUUUCCAUCAUUGCUUGCAUUAAUGACUACUUAAAUUGACAUAGCUUGCAGGACAAAGCUUUGACCAUUCACUGAAGGAGAAUAUAUUUUAAUUGAUUAGGACUUUAGACUAUUUUUAAAGGAAAAUUAUUGAUUAAUGCAAUGAAUUUUAUUGUUUUAUCAGCCUUCCACCUCAGUAUUUAUAUAUAUUUUUGGUUACAAAUUUAGGUAAAUGUUUAACUAUGUGUUUUAAUGUUGCCCUGCCUUUUUUUUUCCCUUUCCUGUUUAAGACAGAUUUCUCUGAUUCAAAUAUAGUGAUAAUUAGUACAAUUUCCAUAUAUAUCAGCAAGAGUUUCUGUACUAAGUGUGGGAAUGUAGAUGUUAAGAGGAAGCACAAGUAAUGACUUUUUUUUUUCAUUCACAAAGGAAGCACUAAGACAUCAAGGUUAUUCAACAGAAAUUAAUAAAUGCACCCUGGAAAGUUAAAAAAUAGUAGGAAGCAAAAAAGAAAAACAACCAAAACCCCAAAAAAAAGCAUUUCAUAGUGACGAAAACCUUCAGGCAGGGGAAAAAAAGAUUUGUUUGACAGUAUGUUAGGGUAGCUUGAAAAAACAAUCUAGGGCCUGUUCUUUGCUGUUACUUCAGAAUUGUGUUGGGCAUUUAAUCUUAGUUGCCCUGUCUGCAAAUUGAAGAUGAUAAUACCCUUUUUGCAGUGUUGUGCAGUCUCUAGAAGUUUCACAAUGAAAGAGAGAAGUGUUGCAUAGGAUAUUUAAAAUUUUCUGUUGGACCUCACAUUUUUAAAAUAAAAGUUUAGGCUACACAUCUUGGAGGAGAUGGGUCUCUAGGGCAGUGUAGGCAAUGUUUACAUGGGGCGGUUUUUUGUUUCACUUUUUUUUGUUAUUUUAUUUUUGAAACUGUUUAAUGGACUGAUUUUUGGUAUCCUCUCUGGAAUAUGCAAGUCUCUGGAGAUUGAUAGAAAUGGGAGUUGCUGGGAAUAAAAGAGGCUUCUUCUUCAUCUGAAUUCUGUCAUCCUCACAAAACCUUGAAAUUAGUAUGGCCCAUAUCUUAGUAUUUCAGCUACUAAACUUUCAGCAACAUUUUGUCUGGCUAACGUCUUAAAUGCCAUGGCUUUCCCAUUAGAUAAGCAGACUGAUUUCAUUACUAUUUCUUGACAGAACAAGAUUAAAAAGAAAAAAAAUACUUGUGUGGUGAAUCUCCUGUAGAGAAUUUUGUGGACAGAAACAGAACUGUUGUUGUAUGGCUGUACAUAUUUUAUGAUACAGAAAAGUAAAUUAACAGGAAAUUAGUGGAAUCUGUAGAAAACCUAUGUAAAUAUAAAAUACAACAAGCAAAUGGACUCUCCACAGUUUAUUCUGGCAGUAGUAAUCAUGUUUAUUCUGACAACAGGCAAGGAGUAUGCCUAGGGUGGUGUCUCCUGACCCCUGCCCCAUGUUGCCAGCCUUUAGCUCUGCUCUAGUGUGGCUGGUUGUCACCACAGAGUGAUGCAAUGGGACUGUGCAGAUUUGUCCUCUGGCAUAUCCUAUACCUUGACCCCAAGUGUAGCUCCGUGCUCUUGCAAACAGUCUUGAAAUGCGUUCUGGCCUGGAGCAAGGGCCCAAGUUUAUAAGGCUAGAGACAUAAGAAGCCCCAUAAUUUGACUCCUGUCUGAAACUUUCACCAUUUAAGGGUAGGAAAGGCAAUUAACAAAGCAGAUACAGAAUUACGAUUUUUUUAUCAUAGUAUCAAAAGAAAGAAUGCAACAUUUUUCUCUUUAGGUUAUCAGUGAAGGGACAAUAGUGUCUGUCACCUGAAAUUUUGCCAGUGGUAAGUGCCAGCUCACAGGUGAAGCACAGGUGUAUGAAAUGCUUGUCACUUAUCACUGACACACUCACAAGAUGCCACCAAAUGUAUCAGGCUCUACUAUAAUAGAGCCUGAUAAUGUAUCUACUCUACCAUAAUUACUGUAUGAUAAAAAUGGAUGUGUUAUACUUGUUGGUGAAUUAAAGGCUCAAAAAUAGAUUAACCUUUGAUAACAAUUUGUUAUCUGUCUUUAAUUAAAUCCAGAGUGAUUUAAAUAAAUAGAAACAUCUUUAGGGCUUAUGUUUUAAUUUUGAAAAUGACUAAUUUGUGCAUGUUGUUAUUUCAAGUUACUUUAACUGCAUUACUUGCAUAAGUUCAAGCAGCAGAACUUCAUUCCAUCUGGUGAUUAUUUAUUUUCAUCAAUCAUACAGUCAGAAAACAUAUAAUUAAAAAAAUAAUUACUAAAACCCUUAUUGAACCUAAUAGACAAAUUUAGGUGACUAAAUGUGUCCAUAUGGAACCUGAAAAUUUCAACACACUUUAAAAAAUGAAUACAGAAAACAGUCAGGGAGCUACAAAUCCUGUGAUUUCCUCAAAAAGGCUGUUUUCCCUACAAUUUCAACAGGCUUAUGUAUCAAGAGUAGAUGUACAUAAACUGCUUUUGAAGAUUUGUUUUUAAUUAAUGUGUUAUGUGUGCUCUGAGAUGGAAGCUGUUUACUUUCACUGCACUGUGAAUCUCUAACCCAAGUUAAAUACACAAGGAGACCUAGUAUGUUAAUGUAAGGAUCAAAAAAAAAAAUGUUUCCAAUUGGUUCUAUUAGGUCUGUCAGUAAAACAUUUUUGGACUUAAGAAGAUGUGUGACUCACCUGAGGAUGAGGCAUGUUAAAUAUUUUACAGGUUGGGCACUUUCCAAAUCAUGACUGCUAUCAUCCUUGUACCCUUAAAAACCACUGAGUUGACUUGCAGACCAUUACCUUUUAGCAGGAAAUUACUCAGAAGCCUCACUAGAUCAGCAGCAAGCCUACAAGUGUACUUCUCUACAGUGGGACAUAACCACACUGUCUCCUGUCUUAGAUAUGAAAGCCAUAUGAUAAGUAAUAAUAAUGAUAAUAAAACUAAUAACAGUAAUAGAUAUCUAAUAUCUAAUAAAAAAGUAUUAAUAAUUUGGUAUAUAUCUAAUAUACUGAAAUUCAGAGUAAAUAAUGCUGGCAAAAAGUAGCAGAUUGCAUCACAAAAAAGUGAUUUUUUUCUGUAUUGUUACAGAUGUUCCAACUGCAAAAUCAGGUUGCAAUGCUAUACUUUUAAACUAUAUGAGUGGUAUGAGAAUGUGCACAUGUGCACAGCAGAUCACUGGUUAUUGCAGUAAAGGCAGCCUCUGCUUCUGCUAUAUAUUUUCCCAACUGAUAUACUCUUUUUUUUGAGGUUGUCAUAUGGUAUAACACUUUUACUAGUUGACUCCUCCCACUUUUCUUCAAACCACAUCCUGAUUUUUGGCCUCAGAAACUAAACAUAUGCACAACUUGCAGAACAACACAUGAUAUUGUUUCUGUAUAACAUCAUACCAGCUGGGAUAUAAAUUCUUACAGACAAUUUUAUGUGAAUGAAAAAUACCUACAUUAAGACAUUUUCCAUAGUUGUGCAAUACAUACCACAGUGGAGCAUAUGGUUUAGAGUCCUCACUUAGGAUUAUAAAAAAAGUCUCAAGUCAGACCACAGAUCUUCAGACAGUGUAAUUUUGAAUAGAUAAUUUUAAUUUAUUUGUAUUUUAUUUUUUCUUCUAUUGUGUUUUGGAUUUCUGAAAUCCAAACUCAGCUAGUUUGUGGGUAUGUUGAAGACCUUUAAAUGUUAUCAAUUUAAUAAUUUGGUAUCAAGUCCAAUUAAAUUAUCAUUUAACUAAGGAAUAGGUAAUUUAUGGUGAAAUUUUAAAUUGUAUCAUGAUUUGAAGAUAUGCCAGUAGGCAUGAUUUCUCAUUUUUGGGCAAUAUAGUUCAUACUUAUUUUCAUAAGCAAAAAAUGAUUUUGUUUCUGAUUUUUCAGUGUUGUUUAUUUAUUUAUGUAUUUAUUUGUUUAUUUGGGGUGAUGGUGGAAGUGGUUGGGUGGUUGUUAUGAUCCCCUUCAGGAUAAAGAAUCUGUGUGUGAGGCUUUUCUCCUAUGAUCUAUAAAUUUUAAUCAAGUCAUACUCAGCCCUCCUUUCUCAAAGACAUUAAGUUAUGUCUUUAUCAAAGAGUUUAUGCUUUCACAGCAAUAAUUUUCUUCUGCUCUCAAAUUAAUUUUAAAUGCUAUUUUGUGAAGUCGCCAUUUUUUCCCCACCAUUCUCAUUAAAAUAUGGACAACAGAUCUCUGGGAAUUAUUCCAACAAUUGCAUCAGGAUUCAAGGAUUACAUUCUCUGCUUAUGCAGCUUCAUGGUGGGAGCUCGUGUUGGGUUGCUGGUCCGCUAUGGCCCCUAAAUCCUUGUAGAGUUGAGGCACUCCAUGUCACUGUACUCCAUUUUUGGGGGGGGUGAAAUCCAUUUGUAUUAUAUUUAACUAUGUAUUCAUGUCUCCUAAGGUGCUAAUUUCUUGCACUGGAUCUAGCUGAUAAAGAGAUCUCCUCUUCCUUGGUUUCAUAAUUACGUACUCACCGAGUAAUCUUUCCAUCAUCCUCGGAUCCUCAGCACGGUAAUUUGUACCUCUGGGUCUCUGCUGGGAAUACUGAAUAGCACCGGGCCUAGUAAAGGUGCCUGCUGGAUACAAUUAGAAACAAUUCAAUAUCAAUUUAAUGUAUCCUUUGAUGAUCUGCUAGCCAGCUCUUGAUUGAAAUUGUGUACAUUGAUGAUAUGUAGCGAACUUUUUAUUUUCUUAAUAAAAUUAUCUUGCAGCAUUUA